GUGGGGAAUCUUGCGCAAUGGGCGAAAGCCUGACGCAGCCAUGCCGCGUGAAUGAUGAAGGUCUUAGGAUUGUAAAAUUCUUUCACCGGGGACGAUAAUGACGGUACCCGGAGAAGAAGCCCCGGCUAACUUCGUGCCAGCAGCCGCGGUAAUACGAAGGGGGCAAGCGUUGCUCGGAAUUACUGGGCGUAAAGGGCGCGUAGGCGGAUCGUUAAGUCAGGGGUGAAAUCCCAGAGCUCAACUCUGGAACUGCCCUUGAUACUGGCGAUCUUGAGUGUGAGAGAGGUAUGUGGAACUCCGAGUGUAGAGGUGAAAUUCGUAGAUAUUCGGAAGAACACCAGUGGCGAAGGCGACAUACUGGCUCAUUACUGACGCUGAGGCGCGAAAGCGUGGGGAGCAAACAGGAUUAGAAACCCCAGUAGUCC
rnacentral:rRNA from 1 species